CAGCUGUGUGACAGGCACAAAGCGAAUUAUUCUUUCGCCUUUUACUAAAGAAUACCGUGUGUUUGUCAUUUUAAACAGCAUACACUAAAUUUUUUGAAGGGGCUUUUUUCUGUAAAAGGUU